rnacentral:tRNA from 1 species
GGAGUCUUAAGUUAUUUUAAACUAUCAGCCUUCAAAGCUGAAAAUGCUAUUGGGCAGACUUUG